rnacentral:rRNA from 1 species
GAUGAACGCUGGCGGCGUGCCUAAUACAUGCAAGUCGAGCGAACAGACGAGGAGCUUGCUCCUCUGACGUUAGCGGCGGACGGGUGAGUAACACGUGGAUAACCUACCUAUAAGACUGGGAUAACUUCGGGAAACCGGAGCUAAUACCGGAUAAUAUAUUGAACCGCAUGGUUCAAUAGUGAAAGACGGUUUUGCUGUCACUUAUAGAUGGAUCCGCGCCGCAUUAGCUAGUUGGUAAGGUAACGGCUUACCAAGGCAACGAUGCGUAGCCGACCUGAGAGGGUGAUCGGCCACACUGGAACUGAGACACGGUCCAGACUCCUACGGGAGGCAGCAGUAGGGAAUCUUCCGCAAUGGGCGAAAGCUUGACGGAGCAACGCCGCGUGAGUGAUGAAGGUCUUCGGAUCGUAAAACGCUGUUAUUAGGGAAGAACAAAUGUGUAAGUAACGAUGCACGUCUGGACGGUACCUAAUCAGAAAGCCACGGCUAACUACGU